CCCUUAGAUGGUCUGGGCCGCACGCGCGCUACACUGACGAAUGCAACGAGCUUAUAACCUUGGCCGAAAGGUCUGGGUAAUCUCCAAAUUUCGUCGUGAUGGGGAUAGAUUAUUGCAAUUAUUAAUCUUCAACGAGGAAUGCCUAGUAAGCGCAAGUCAUCAGCUUGCGUUGAUUACGUCCCUGCCCUUUGUACACACCGCCCGUCGCUCCUACCGAUUGAAUGGUCCGGUGAAGCGCUCGGACCGCGGCCUCUUGACGGUUCGCUGUCGAUUGGCUGUGGGAAGUUCGUUAAACCUUAUCAUUUAGAGGAAGGAGAAGUCGUAACA
rnacentral:rRNA from 1 species